rnacentral:rRNA from 1 species
UACGUAGGGGGCAAGCGUUGUCCGGAAUCAUUGGGCGUAAAGCGCGUGUAGGCGGCCAGAAAAGUCCGCUGUGAAAACUCGAGGCUCAACUUCGAGCUGUCGGUGGAAACUUUCUGGCUAGAGUCCGGAAGAGGAGAAUGGAAUUCCUGGGUGAUAGCGGUGAAAUGCGCAGAUAUCAGGAAGAACACCCGUGGCGAAGGCGGUUCUCUGGGACGGUACUGACGCUGAGACGCGAAAGCGUGGGGAGCGAACAGG